rnacentral:tRNA from 1 species
GCGAUUAUAGUUCAUCGGUUAGAACGCCUCGUUGCCAACGAGGAGAGUCGGGUUCAAUUCCCGAUAAUCGCA